UACGUAGGGACCAAGCGUUGUUCGGAUUUACUGGGCGUAAAGGGCGCGUAGGCGGCGCGGUAAGUCACUUGUGAAAUCUCUGAGCUUAACUCAGAACGGCCAAGUGAUACUGCAGUGCUAGAGUGUGGAAGGGGCAAUCGGAAUUCUUGGUGUAGCGGUGAAAUGCGCAGAUAUCAGGAGGAACACCAAUGGCGAAGGCAGCUCGCUGGGACGGUACUGACGCUGAGACGCGAAAGCGUGGGAGCAAACA
rnacentral:rRNA from 1 species